GCUUGAGUCCUGGACAUGCGGAUUUCUAGAGUCAGGCAGGGGAGGCAUCCGGCCUCUGGAAGGCUGGGCUUCAGGUAGUGAAGGCGGUGUGUCACUGCGGUGGUAUCUGGGAGGCGUGCCGAGCCUCUCCGUGUGCGCGUCCCCUCCAGAAAUCUCCACAUCCCCCUGCUUCUCUCUCCACCAGAGCCGCCUCUCCUCUGCCGACUGCCUGCCUGCCUGCCUGCCUGCCUGCCUGCCUGCCUGCCUGCCUGCCUGUGCCAAGAAGCCUACCCGAAUCGAGGGAAGAGAGAAUGCCCGGGAGCGCCUUAACUUCACGCCGGGCGCAAGGGCGGAAGGGGGCCGAUUGGUUGACAGCCGGCUGCCUUGCCUUAAGAAGCAGGGCGUCUGAUGUCAAGCCGCCUCUCCCUCUGCCGACUGCCUGCCUGCCUGCCUGCCUGUGCCAAGAAGCCUACCCGAAUCGAGGGAAGAGAGAACGGUGCCCGGGAGCGCCUUAACUUCACGCCGGGCGCAAGGCGGAAGGGGCCGAUUGUUGACAGCCGGCUGCCUUGCCUUAGGAG
rnacentral:lncRNA from 1 species